UGAGAAGUCCGCUGGAGGUAUCGGAAGUGCGAAUGCUGACAUGAGUAACGAUAAUGCGGGUGAAAAGCCCGCACGCCGAAAGCCCAAGGUUUCCUUGCGCAACGUUAAUCGACGCAGGGUUAGUCGGUCCCUAAGGCGAGGGCGAAAGCCGUAGUCGAUGGGAAGCAGGUUAAUAUUCCUGCACCUCGCGUGAGUGCGAUGGAGGGACGGAGAAGGUUAGGUGUACCGGGCGUUGGUUGUCCCGGGGAAAGGCGGUAGGUUUGGAUCUUUGGCAAAUCCGGGAUCCUUUAAGACCGAGCACCGAGACGAGCCUUUAUGGCGAAGUCACUGAUACCACGCUUCCAGGAAAAGCUCCUAAGCUUCAGCUCACGAAGACCGUACCGUAAACCGACACAGGUGGGUAGGAUGAGAAUUCUCAGGCGCUUGAGAGAACUCGGGUGAAGGAACUAGGCAACAUGGCACCGUAACUUCGGGAGAAGGUGCACCCUUUUUGGUGGCUCAUGCGAGCUAUAGCUGAAGAGGGUCGCAGAAACCAGGCCGCUGCGACUGUUUAUCAAAAACACAGCACUCUGCAAACACGAAAGUGGACGUAUAGGGUGUGACGCCUGCCCGGUGCUGGAAGGUUAAUUGAUGGGGUCAGCCGCAAGGCGAAGCUCUUGAUCGAAGCCCCAGUAAACGGCGGCCGUAACUAUAACGGUCCUAAGGUAGCGAAAUUCCUUGUCGGGUAAGUUCCGACCUGCACGAAUGGCGUAACGACAGCGGCGCUGUCUCCACCCGAGACUCAGUGAAAUUGAAAUCGCUGUGAAGAUGCAGCGUUCCCGUGGCAAGACGGAAAGACCCCGUGAACCUUUACUAUAGCUUUACACUGAACGUUGAGUUCGUCUGUGUAGGAUAGGUGGGAGGCUAUGAAACUGUGGCGCUAGCUGCAGUGGAGCCAUCCUUGAAAUACCACCCUGUCGUGCUUGACGUUCUAACCUAGAUCCGUUAUCCGGAUCAGGGACCGUGUAUGGUGGGUAGUUUGACUGGGGCGGUCUCCUCCUAAAGAGUAACGGAGGAGCACGAAGGUACGCUCAGCGCGGUCGGACAUCGCGCACUGUGUGCAAAGGCAUAAGCGUGCUUGACUGCAAGAUCGACGGAUCAAGCAGGUACGAAAGUAGGUCUUAGUGAUCCGGUGGUUCUGUAUGGAAGGGCCAUCGCUCAACGGAUAAAAGGUACUCCGGGGAUAACAGGCUGAUACCGCCCAAGAGUUCAUAUCGACGGCGGUGUUUGGCACCUCGAUGUCGGCUCAUCACAUCCUGGGGCUGUAGUCGGUCCCAAGGGUAUGGCUGUUCGCCAUUUAAAGUGGUACGCGAGCUGGGUUCAGAACGUCGUGAGACAGUUCGGUCCCUAUCUGCCAUGGGCGUUGGAAGUUUGAGAGGGGCUGCUCCUAGUACGAGAGGACCGGAGUGGACGAACCUCUGGUGUUCCGGUUGUCACGCCAGUGGCAUUGCCGGGUAGCUAUGUUCGGAAGCGAUAACCGCUGAAAGCAUCUAAGCGGGAAGCGCGCCUCAAGAUGAGACUUCCCGGGGCACAAGCCCCCUAAAGGAACCAUAUAGACUAUGUGGUUGAUAGGUCAGGUGUGUAAGUACAGCAAUGUAUUGAGCUAACUGAUACUAAUGAUCCGUGCGGCUUGACCAUAUAACCUCA
rnacentral:rRNA from 1 species